UACGUAGGGUGCAAGCGUUGUCCGGAAUUAUUGGGCGUAAAGAGCUCGUAGGCGGUUUGUUGCGUCGGCUGUGAAAUCCCGAGGCUCAACCUCGGGUCUGCAGUCGAUACGAGCAAACUAGAGUGUUGCAGGGGAGACUGGAAUUCCUGGUGUAGCGGUGAAAUGCGCAGAUAUCAGGAGGAACACCGAUGGCGAAGGCAGCUCGCUGGGACGGUACUGACGCUGAGGCGCGAAAGCGUGGGGAGCAAACAGG
rnacentral:rRNA from 1 species